UUCUUGUAUGGGUUGGUUGGAUCCSUGCUUGGGCAGCGACAUCCCCCKUGCAAGCCUCUUCAAUUUUCGGCCCAAGAACAAGUUAGCCUUGGCCGUUUGUCGGUUUCCUGUGUUGUAUACCUACUAUAAUGGAAUUCGAAUGUGCAAUAUUUUGUUAUUCGCCUUGUGCUGUCCCAUCGGUUGUCCCUUUGGGGUGCGGUGUCGGGUGAACCUCGAAGCGAUCUUCAUGUUCUUCGUCACCCACGAAAUGUGUUGUCGGCGCGGCCCAUGAAGAUUUCUUGAGCUCUCGGAUGCGGAAUAUGCAGAGGGCAGUAGGCCUACGGCCUCUCUUUGCCCGAAUUAAGCGUUUAUUCGCUCAUUACCGAAUGACGGCCGGCGGUGCCUUGAUGUGUUGGAGCCCUCGGGUUUCGGCAUCAUCAUGCAUAGCCGGCGUCACUAAGGAAUGCUACCUGGUUGAUCCUGCCAGUAGUCAUAUGCCUUGUCUC
rnacentral:misc_RNA from 1 species